ACUCCUGCGGGAGGCAGCAGUGGGGAAUAUUGGACAAUGGGCGCAAGCCUGAUCCAGCCAUGCCGCGUGAGUGAUGAAGGCCCUAGGGUUGUAAAGCUCUUUCACCGGUGAAGAUAAUGACGGUAACCGGAGAAGAAGCCCCGGCUAACUUCGUGCCAGCAGCCGCGGUAAUACGAAGGGGGCUAGCGUUGUUCGGAUUUACUGGGCGUAAAGCGCACGUAGGCGGACUAUUAAGUCAGGGGUGAAAUCCCGGGGCUCAACCCCGGAACUGCCUUUGAUACUGGUAGUCUUGAGUUCGGGAGAGGUGAGUGGAAUUCCGAGUGUAGAGGUGAAAUUCGUAGAUAUUCGGAGGAACACCAGUGGCGAAGGCGGCUCACUGGCUCGAUACUGACGCUGAGGUGCGAAAGCGUGGGGAGCAAACAGGAUUAGAAACCCCGGUAGUCCC
rnacentral:rRNA from 1 species